GACGAACGCUGGCGGCGUGCUUAACACAUGCAAGUCGAACGGAAAGGCCCCUUUGGGGGUCCUCGAGUGGCGAACGGGUGAGUAACACGUGAGUAACCUGCCCUUGACUUCGGGAUAACUUCAGGAAACUGGGGCUAAUACCGGAUAGGAAUCCUUGCUGCAUGGUGGGGGUUGGAAAGCUUCGGCGGUUUUGGAUGGACUCGCGGCUUAUCAGCUUGUUGGUGGGGUAGUGGCUUACCAAGGCUUUGACGGGUAGCCGGCAUGAGAGGGCGACCGGCCACAUUGGGACUAAGAUACGGCCCAGACUCCAACGGGAGGCAGCAGUGGAGAAUAUUGCACAAUGGGCGGAAGCAUGAUGCAGCAACGCCGCGUGCGGGAUGACGGCCUUCGGGUUGUAAACCGCUUUCAGCAGGGGCGAAGCUUGUGGUGACGGUCCCUGCAGGAGAAGCACCGGCUAACUACGG
rnacentral:rRNA from 1 species